AGUACGUGAAACUGCUUAGAGGUUAAACCCGAUGAACCUGAAUAUCCGUUAUGAAAAAUUCAUCAUUAGUAACAUAAUAUAUUUAAUAUAUUAUAUGAAUAUUGUGCAAUUUUUUCAUAUAAGGACAUUGUAAUCUGUUAAUGUAAUAAAUAUUUAUCAAAAGAUCCUUAAUGAAAGUUUAUUCAAAUUAUUUAUCUUUACGGUAUUUAACAUAGAAUAAAUGUUUUGGAUUUGAUAAAUCAUUGACAGAUAUAAUUAUAUAAUGCGCUUAAAUUCUUAGGAAUUUUAUCAAUGGUAAAUAAAUCUAUUGAUUUUUUUAUUCAAUUGUAUGCGCUAUUAUGAUUAACAAUGCGAUAGAUUCAGGAUACCUUCGGGACCCGUCUUGAAACACGGACCAAGGAGUCUAACAUAUGUGCAAGUCAUUGGGUAUUUUUAAUAAAACCCAAUGGCGUAAUUAACUUAACUGUUUAAUGGGAUUAGUAUAUUAAUUUUUUUAAAUGAGUAUAUUCAAUCCCGGGGCGUUCUAUACAGUUAUGUAUAAUGAUAUUUAUAUUAUUUAUACCUCUAACUAGGGCGUACCUUGAGCAUAUAUGCUGU
rnacentral:rRNA from 1 species